GUAGUAUUCCCUCCGUCCCAAAAUUCUUGUCUUACAUUUGUUUAGAUACGGAUGUAUCUAACACUAAAAUGUAACUAGAUACAUCCAUAUUUAGACAAAUUUCAGAAAGGAAUUUUGGAACGGAGGGAGUACAAA
rfam:Triticum aestivum genome assembly, contig: Triticum_aestivum_CS42_TGACv1_scaffold_578705_7BL